CAGAAAGAUAAACCAAACUACUUUCUUUCUUUGUUUAUGUAACUUUUUUUUUAGGGUUAACAUCCUUCUGAAGAAGGACUAUGAAUCUGUGAAUCCUAUGAAUUGAGAUUUACAGAGAUUUUUUUUUGGGUUAUCAUCAAAUUAAACUUCUGCAAGAUCAACAGGCGAGCAUUCUUAACUUUGUAACCUGAAUCCUAAGGAGUCAAACUCGACUUCAGGGCACCUCCAACUACUUUGAGGAUGAUAAGUAGGAAUUCCAACUUCAAAUGAUGGACAGAUGGAGAGUUAAGAGGAUGAUGUGAAUCGUCCUAAAGAACUUUUGAAAUCAAUCGAUUGUUCUCAGUACAGCUGAACUUAUUCUUGAAAUGUUGAUGAAUGUAAUCAAAGUAGUUAGUGAGGGAAAUAUUACACAGGUUUGUCAUGAAUGAAUCUAAUUACAAAUGUGCUUUCCAAUUGAAUAUGGAAAAUAUGGAACAUAUGAAUAUAUUUUUCCAAUUGUAUCCGAUUUACCCUCAUCAAUUCCCACUAUAUUUGUC